GCCACGGUGGCCUAGUGGCUAUGGUACUCGGCUGCUAUCCGAGGGUCGCGGGAUCGAAUCCCGGCCGCGGCG
rnacentral:tRNA from 1 species